rnacentral:lncRNA from 1 species
UAUUUUUUUAAUGUAAGUACUACUCAUGCUACAUUUGCUAUAAAUGGAUUUCCUUUUGGAUGUUUUGGAUGAUUUUCAGACUGGUUCAUUCCCCUUGAAAGGACACUUAAUGGAUGUUUUUCAGACUGGUUCAUUCACCUUGAAAGGACACUUAAACGUACAGGUGACCUCUCCUUUAGCAAGGUUUGGGUUUACUGUGCCUGGCAUUGGAAACAUCAGUGGGGAUGGAUACGAGGACACUGCAGUUGGACCCCCCCCCCCUUGAAGAUCAGCUUUCAAAUUGUUCCUCUUUUGGCAGCGUUUACAUCUUUAAUGGUAAUAAAGACAAGAUCAAGAGCUCCUUUUCUCAAAGAUAAAAGGCCUCUGAAAUUUCUUCAGGACUCGAGUGUACAGUCUGUUGGUGGUGGCUUUGAUUUCACUCAUGAUGGUCUCAGAGAUAUUACAGUAGGAUCACUGGAGAACGUGAUUGUGCUCUGUGUUUUCACAGUUACACGUUCUCUACGUGGUGGACUUAGAGGUGAAAAUGGCAAAGAGGAGAGUAAGGUUUGAAGAUCAGAACGCCACAAGAAGUGGAAAGCUGUUGGUCAGCUGCAGCUUUACAUGCUGGUAGGUGAUGUUGGUCAGACUUACCACAGAGGGAUGAGAGGAUAAGAUUUUUUUUUUUAACAGAAUCUGCAUGAUGGUGAGUCUGUCUUGAAAUGUAAAAAGACU